rnacentral:rRNA from 1 species
GACGGAGCAAUACCGCGUGAGGGAGGAAGGCUCUUGGGUUGUAACCUCUUUUCUCAGGGAAUAAUAAGUUGAAGGUACCUGAGGAAUAAGCAUCGGCUAACUCCGUGCCAGCAGCCGCGGUAAUACGGAGGAUGCAAGCGUUAUCCGGAAUGAUUGGGCGUAAAGCGUCCGCAGGUGGUUUAUCAAGUCUGCUGUCAAAGCGUCUGGCUUAACUAGAUAAAGGCAGUGGAAACUGAGAGACUGGAGUAUGGUAGGGGUAGAGGGAAUUCCCGGUGUAGCGGUGAAAUGCGUAGAGAUCGGGAAGAACACCGGUGGCGAAAGCGCUCUGCUGGACCAUAACUGACACUGAGGGACGAAAGCUAGGGGAGCGAAUGGGAUUAGAUACCCCAGUAGUCCUAGCCGUAAACGAUGGAUACUAGGCGUUACGCGUAUCGACCCGCGUAGUGCCGGAGCCAACGCGUUAAGUAUCCCGCCUGGGGAGUACGCACGCAAGUGUGAAACUCAAAGGAAUUGACGGGGGCCCGCACAAGCGGUGGAGUAUGUGGUUUAAUUCGAUGCAACGCGAAGAACCUUACCAGGGCUUGACAUGUCGCGAAUCUCUCUGAAAGGAGAGAGUGCCUUAGGGAGCGCGAACACAGGUGGUGCAUGGCUGUCGUCAGCUCGUGUCGUGAGAUGUUGGGUUAAGUCCCGCAACGAGCGCAACCCUCGUACUUAGUUGCCAUCAUUAAGUUGGGAACUCUAAGAAGACUGCCGGUGACAAACCGGAGGAAGGUGGGGAUGACGUCAAGUCAGCAUGCCCCUUACGUCCUGGGCUACACACGUACUACAAUGCUGUGGACAGAGGGCAGCAAGCUAGUGAUAGCAAGCAAAUCUCACAAACCACGGCUCAGUUCAGAUCGCAGGCUGCAACUCGCCUGCGUGAAGGUGGAAUCGCUAGUAAUUGCAGGUCAGCAUACUGCAGUGAAUUCG